rnacentral:rRNA from 1 species
CGCCUUUUGACUCCCAUAAAAGGUCCAGCCUGCCCAGUGACAUUGAUUAAACGGCUGCGGUACCCUGACCGUGCAAAGGUAGCAUAAUCACUCGUCCUCUAAAUAAGGACUUGUAUCAACGGCAUCACGAGGGUCAUACUGUCUCCCCUUUUUAAUCAGUGAAACUGACUUUCCCGUGAAGAGGCGGGAAUAAAAGUACAAGACGAGAAGACCCCAUGGAGCUUUAAACCCAAUAAUAACUUUUACUUACUAUAACUGUUCAAUCUAGAAGAUCUAUCUAUUGGUUUUAGGCUGGGGUAGCCCUGGAGUAAAACUAAACCUCCAACGACGAAUGGGUUUAACCUUAAUCUUAGAGCAACUGCUCAAUGAAUCAAAAUUUUGACAUAGCAUGAUCCGCUUAGCGAUCAAUGAACCAAGUUACCCUGGGGAUAACAGCGCAAUCCAUUUCAAGAGCCCCUAUCGACAAAUGGGUUUACGACCUCGAUGUUGGAUCAGGGUAUCCUAGUGGUGCAGCCGCUACUAAAGGUUUGUUUGUUCAACAAUUAAAACCCU